rnacentral:rRNA from 1 species
AGAAUCAACGCUGGCGGCGUGCCUAACACAUGCAAGUCGCACGAGAAAGGGUAGCAAUACCUGAGUAAAGUGGCGCACGGGUGAGUAACACGUGAAUUAUCUACCUCCGAGUGGGGAAUAACUGAGAGAAAUCUUAGCUAAUACCGCAUAACACUUACGAGUCAAAGCAGCAAUGCGCUUGGAGAGGGGGUCGCGGCAGAUUAGUUAGUUGGCGGGGUAAUGGCCCACCAAGACGAUGAUCUGUA